rnacentral:rRNA from 1 species
CUCUUACGGGAGGCAGCAGUGGGGAAUUUUCCGCAAUGGGCGAAAGCCUGACGGAGCAACGCCGCGUGAGGGAUGAAGGCCUCUGGGCUGUAAACCUCUUUUCUCAAGGAAGAAGAUCUGACGGUACUUGAGGAAUAAGCCACGGCUAAUUCCGUGCCAGCAGCCGCGGUAAU